GAUGAACGCUGGCGGCGUGCCUAAGACAUGCAAGUCGAGCGAAAGGAUGAGAAGCUUGCGUCUGUGAUGUUAGCGGCGGACGGGAGAGUAACAGGUGGAUAACCUACCGAUAAGAAUAGGAGAAUUUAGGGAAACCGGAGCUAAUACCGGAUAAUAUUUUGAAACGCAAGGCCCAAGAGAAAAAGACGGUGUUGGGGUCACUUACAGAUUGAUCCGCGCUGCAUUAGCUAGUUGGUAAGGUAACGGGUGACCACGGGAACGAUGCCUAGCCGACAAGAGAGGGUGAUCCACCACGCUUGCCCUGGUCCACGGUCCCAACUCCUACGGGAUGCCGCAGUUGCGAAUCUUCCACGAUGGACGGAAGCCUAACGGAACAACGCCGCAUGAUUGAUGCAGCUCUUCUGUUCGUAAAACUCUGUUUUUAGGGAAGAACAUAUGUCUCAGUAACUGUGCACAUCUUGACGGUACCUACUCAGAAAGCCACGGCUAACUACGUG
rnacentral:rRNA from 1 species